UAUACUUAGAUGUAAGAAGCAUGGUAAAUUUUGAUUUUACGAGGGUUAGUUUAAUUCUGACAAGUAUAG
rnacentral:tRNA from 1 species